rnacentral:lncRNA from 1 species
AAAGAAACCCGCAACUCGUCGGGUUUUAUACAACAAAUGGAGCCCGAGACAUAUGUCGGGAAAAUGGGUAUUACAUGAAAAUGGUCGGAAUGGACAUCGACCUCCACCAUCUUCAUGCCUUCUCCAUCUUGAAGGUCCUAAUCUAAACCUAAUCUAAAACACUAAUAACUAGGUGCGUACAAAUAAAAGAAACAAUCAAACACAUCAAGCAACCAUUUUCAUUUCUAAAGAAGUACAAUGCGAAAGUCAAGUUUCGAGUGAUAUCCUAAAGUUCAGCAUUGACAUGCAAAUCAUGUGAAAUCAGCAUCAUAGGAACAAAUUUCACGAGGAAGCUUCUAAAAAAUUUUUAACACGUGAAUUUCUAAAAGUUCAAGAACAUGAACAAGUCAAUCAAGAAUAGAUCAUAGUAGCAUGUCACACCGUCAUUCUACAACAUAUUGAAAGCAAUUGGACAAAUCUACUAUCUCAUCUUAAGACUAACAGCAAUUAGCCACAGAAAAGACAGCAUUUCCCUAAUCGAAUCAAUUCCAAAAAAAAAAAGGAACUAUAUGUUAUAACCAAAGGCAUUUCAUAAAGCAUCGAUUCAUGAAUCCAAGUAUAACAUCCAACAUAAAAUUUCAGAUACAAGAUUGAACAAUGCAUAUUGGUAAAGAGUUACUAUCUAACUUUCAUUAGAAAUUUCAGUUACUAAUGUAUCCUGGCCCCGAACUUUCAAUAUCGAGAAUACACUUUGACACAAAAGGUCCUCGCCUCAUCGGACACUAUGAUGAUCACCAACAAUCACAGUAUAAAGGCAAUCAACUGGAGGAAACACCCAUAAGAGAAGCAAAGUCAGCUGAAAACCAAUCACCUUAAGUAUAUAAUUUGCUGUCUUGCAUUCUUUUUGCACAAAAAUCCCCAACAGAAAGAGAUUGAUAUACAAGAGAUAGAACAAUAACUGCAAAGUUGUAUAUCUACAAGAACUUAAAAAUCCUCUUUCUCUUCUUCAAUAUAAUAAGUCUCAUUCGAAAGAAAACCAUAAGAAAGGCAAGAUAUCCAAGAUGUGAUAUAUCUAUUGCAAGGUCCUAGUAAUUAAAACUAAAGCAAGCAUGGGAUCCAACAGAUGGCAACAACAAUAUAUCCUCAGAUAAUCAAGAACUAUCCACAUACUUUUAGUUUCAAAUGAGAGGUCUCUCCAUACAAAUGUGUUUUUAUGCUGAGAUAUCAUUUCUCUGUAAGUUUAUGACCUUGAAAAGCUAGACCUGUGAUCGGCACAAAAGAGUAUCUGAAAACAAUUAUGAGUGUCUCAAGUGUAUAUGGUCAUUAAAGAGCAGACUAAAGCUAGCAUUACUAGAAAAAUUACUCAGAAGAAUAGAUUUGGCAUGAUUAUCUCAUGAGUAUUGCAGAAUGCCUAUUGGAAAUAUCAAUCAAAAUGAGUGACUUUAAAAUUAAUUGCUCUGCAGAAUUUCACCUCGGUAGGACACACUAUUCAGAUUAAAGACGGUGCAAAUUCAGAAGUGGAAUAUUCAUCCAGUAAGAAGAGCAUUCCAGACUAGUAGAAGUUUCUCUAUUUUUUUCCUAUGUGACAUUUUCAGUUGAUAUGGCACACCAAGCUAGAAAGGAUCGUGGCCACGCAAAAAGUUCUUCAAUUCUUUCAUAGGGUGCCUUUCCUUCUUCCAUCUAUUGAAAUUGUAAGACAUAAACAAGAUAGUAGUUCACGCAUAAUUCCAGCUUUUGGAAAGAGAGAAACGCACCAAGAAAAGGUAAUGACCGCAGUCUUCAAACUUCCGGAUAUGGCUUCUCCGCAGUUUAUCGUUUAGUCUAGCACCUUCUGCUUGACUUGGCAAUAACCAAUCCUUCGCACUUGUUUGUGAAACUUUGAUGCUUGAUUGAGUAAUCUAGUCUUCGUGAACACUAGCAGAUCUACUCUUUGGUUCUGCCCUCGGAGCCGAGUUGAGGCUUCCAAACUCGGCGCAAUUCCGAAUCCCUGCACCUCGAGCUCCGGAAGGACGCGAUCCGCGAUGAGAUCGUCAGAUUUAGCCGAGAGCAUGAUCACCAGAGAGAGCCAUCGAGAGGGAGAAGCACCGAUCAGGCCGGUCAAAUCCGGCGAGAGAAUCCCCGAUCGAGAGAAUCACCGAUCGAGCUCCAGAGAGAGAGAAUCGAAAGAAAACCCCCUUCGAUCGAGUGAACCAACCUCCGAUCGAGUUUUCAGAGAGCAAGCGUCUGAUCUCCGAGGAAGAGAGGUAUCCGUUGAGUGAGAAUCGCUAGAGCGAGAGCGAAAGGGAACUCCCCUCGCAAUCCCCAACCGCCAGUCUUCAAUUUCCAAUCCUCGCUAAUGAGAGAAAAACCCCCCGCCUUCGACUUGAGCUCCACGGAGAAGUACUGGAGACGGAUGCGGAAACUCCCUCCUAUGGACGGCGAGCGAAGUGGACAUUUUUCCCCUGAGGAAUCACGGAUGUCUACGGGGAUCGUUCGAGGCUAGGAUCCGAGAUCUGCCAUGGAAGCUCCGCCGAGCAUUUACUGAGAGAGAGAAUUCAGCUUCUGGGCGUCUGAGAGGAGAGAGAGACUGUGUGAGGAGAGAGAACCCCCAUGUGGAUAGCCAGAGCGAUCGAAAAAACCCCCAGGGAGAGAGAGGGAGCUUGCAGGCGUCCAAGAGAGAAAGUCCCGCGUGAGAGAGAAUACGCCAGAGAGAAUCCCCAAGAGAGAGAGAGCCAGCCCCCCCCCCCCCCCAAAAAAAAGCCCCCAGAGAGAAAUCGUCAUCCCCUUUUCUCUUUUUUUCUUUUAUUUUUUCCUUUCUAAUUUUUUCUCUUUUUAUUUCAUUCCUUUUCUUUUCUUUUGUUUUCUUUCUUUUUUUUUUCUUUUCUUUGUUUUCUUUUUGUUAUUUUUCUUUUUGGCUCUUUAUUUAUUUUUCUUAUAUUUUUGCAAAAAAUGAAUGAUUAAAAUGUCGAUAAAAAUUUCGGGUGUCAACAGCUGCCCCUCUUUGAGUGGGAGUUCGAAGAGAUUCCACUCAAAGACAAAAUUGAUACCUGCAAUUUUUAGUCGACCCAACUUUGAAAAAUAAAAAAUGACAAAAGCAAUGAUGGUUGGUUAGGGACGUACCUGAUACUUACCUUUGCUCAUCAGAGUAUCUGAACUAUUGGGGUUUAUUCAUUUUGUCUCUCGCUCUCUCUCGUGUAAAAACAGGUUUCGAUUGGGAGAAAGGUCUCACCGUGUAAAAACGGAUUUUGACUAGGAGAAAAGUCUCACCGUGUAAAAACGGGUUUCGACUGGAUGAAAAGUCUGACCGUGUAAAAACGGGUUUCGACUGGGAGAAAAGUCUCAUUGUGUAAAAACGGGUUUCGACUGGAUGAAAGGUCUCACCGUGUAAAAACGGGUUUCGAAAAGGAGAAAAGUCUCACCGUGUAAAAAUGGGUUUCGACUGGAUGAAAGGUCUCACCGUGUAAAAACGGGUUUCGAAAAGUCUCACUGUGUAAAAACGGGUUUCGACUGGGAGAAAAGUCUCAUCGUGUAAAAACGGGUUUCGAUUGGAUGAAAGGUCUCACCGUGUAAUAACGUGCUUCGACCGAGAGAAAGGUCUUUUCGACCAGUUAUGAGUUUUGAAAUUGCUGGAGAACCAAACUUGCGCAAUAACAUUGAUUGCCAAAUUCUUUCGGAAAGGAUUUUAACAAAAAUGAGAUUUAAUUAACCAUCUAAGGGUUAAAUCAAAUAUGCCAAGUGGAAAUACUCUAAUAAAAAAAGGUCUUUCACACUAGCUCUCAAAAAGGGCUUUUGUUCCCAACCAUGGAUAUGGGAAAACUGUUUAAAUCUCACUGGAGAAGUCUCACUCAACCUAUGUCUAAGGUUUUCGGAAACGUUCACAGUGAAUACAAUCCAUUGAUCAAAAGGUCUUUUAAAGGGAUCGUAAUGAUGGCUUGGUCAUGGGCUUACACAAAGGGUAUGCACUUUAAGGCCAAGAAAUGAAUAUUCAAUCAAUAUCUUCAUCAGGUUUACAAGUCAAGAACCUUGAAGAUAAGAUAAGAUAGGAUUGCUUCCACUCCUUCUAGCAGUAGCUCCUAUGUGAUAUUCUCAUUUCAACUCGAACCAUCCCAAUCGGAAGAGACUUCGGAUAAGGGUUGUAAUAUUGGUUCAGGUGAGGCUUGAAAAGGCUUGAAAAAAUUUCAGAUAUCAAAGGGUUAAAAAAGUGAGUGAUUAUCUUGGCAUUAUUACCAUCACAUGACUUUUCAAAAUUCGACUCUUGAAAUUUAACCUAUCUCGAGAGUCCUUUUGGUAAUUUGUCUUGAGACAUGAGAGCUUCGCUCUCUGUUCUAAUGAUAUUGCUUGCAAUACAUGUUUUUUCUUGCAAGACAUUUCUUUUGUUUUUCAACGAAUGAUCUUUUGCAUGAUCAUGGAUUUCGCUAUUUUUUGCAUUCUUGCUUUUCUUUGCAUUUUUUUUCUUGGGCAUUGGCCUUGCUUUUACCAGGCACACUGCUUUUUCAUGCCCCCUAGUUUUCAUUCUCUUUUAAGUAUCUAGGACUCUUGAGUGGCAUUUACAAACAUUACCAACAUUCUCAAUUUUGUUGGUAAAUCAUGUGCCUUGCCCCAGUGUGGGGAGAUAAUCAUCACCUGGGGUUAUGAAAGAAUUGUAUAAGGCUCAAAUUGGCUAAGCAAUGGAUAAUCGUGUUUGUGGUAGUGAACGGAAUGCUCUUCAUCACUUUGGGAUGCUUCGAGUUUCGACAAGAAAUCACCUAAAGCUAGCACAAGAAGAUUGAUGCAAGUGAAAGCAAUAAAAUCUUUCUUAAUCUUUUGCUCCGUAAUUUUCAACCAAGACCCCCUAUUUUGCCCCAAUGUGGGAUUGUUCUUGACAGGGUUAUUUUGGAAAUGCUCCCUAUUUGGCUCAAAGUGGCUUGCAAGGGAUAUCAAUAGUGUUUGGGAUUAAGAAAUGAAGUGCCUUUAUCAUUUCAAAUCAUAUAUUCACUGUGAAUGAAUCCUAUGCCCUAAGACAUGGUUCUUUCCACUAAAUUCUCUCAAAGAGUGUAUGAGGACGUGUUUGGUAAAGGGUUGCCUCUCAUCAUUUUAGGCACUACCACCUGGCAUAUUUAAUAAUCAUUUUCAAGUUUUCCAAAGCACACUUUAGUUAAAUUCAACUCCUUGGGGAAAUGAAAAUAUAAUGAAAUUUUGUCUGAAAUGACAUGUUUCCUUGACCCUACUAGGGAGAUCUUUUGGAAGUAAGAUUGGACAAAACUUGUAGACAGAACAGGCUUUGCUUAGCGCAUGGGUUCAUUUCUAGAGUUCUAACUAUACUUCUAGAAUUCUAACCGACUAUUUUGGCAUUCUAAAGGAUAAGGUCACUUCUAAGUUCUAAAGAAGAAUGGACACUUUUGAAAGUUUUGCACUCUUGAGAUGAACCUCUCGCGGAUAGAUAGAAUCUUUGUCAGAGAUCCUGCAAAAUGAACAAACAUGCAGAUGCAAUAUGUAUGUAUGAAAAUGCAUGAUGCAAACAUCCUAAAAUGGCUCAGAUUCAAUCCAAAAAUGGCUCAAAGGCCUUUCACUUUAUUCAUGAAUAGUACUUCUUGACACCAUCAGCAUUUACAGGUCUUGGCAAUUCAUGACCAUCCAUUUCUACAAGGAUUAGUGCCCCACCAAGUAGCACUUUCUUUACAAUAUAUGGACCUUCAUAGUUUGGAGUAAACUUCCCACGAGGAUCUGGAAUGAUAGGUAAAACCUUCCUCAAGACAAUAUCGUUAAUCUCGAAAUGCCUUGGUCUAACCUUGCGGUUAAAUGACCUAGCUACUCUCUUCUGAUAACUUUGUGCAUGGCAUAAGGCUUUCACCCUCUUUUCAUCAAUCAUAUUGAGUUGUUCAAAUCUUUGUUGAACCCAUUCAGCUUCAGAGAGCUUGAUUUGAGAAAGUACCCUCAGUGAAGGAAUUUCCACUUCCACAGGUAAUACAGCUUCCAUCCCAUAAACCAAUGAGAACGGUGUUGCCCCAGUCGAAGUACGAAUUGAAGUUCGAUAAGCAAACAAUGCAUAUGGCAACCGAUCAUGCCAAUCACAAUAAUUUUCCGCCGUUUUGGCUAAAAUCUUCUUGAUGUUCUUAUUUGCCGCUUCCACAGCUCCAUUCACUUGCGGGCGGUAAGGAGAAGAAUUCAAAUGGCGAAUGUGGAAUUCUCCAAGUAAAUCAUCCACCACUUUAUUGUUCAAGUUUGAUCCAUUAUCUGUGAUGAUCGCUUCAAGAACUCCAUAUCCGGCGAUGAUAUCACAACGGAUGAACUUUGCUACGCUUUUUGUAGUAACAUGAGUAUAAAAAUUGGCUUCAAUCAAUUUGAUGAAGUAACCGAUGGCUACCGAGAUAAAACGAUGUCCAUUCGACGCUUGAGGAUUAAUUGGUCCGAUGAUGUCGAUGCCCCACAUUGAAAAAGGCUAGGAUUCUGACAUUUGAUGUAGCUCAUUAAGAGGAGCAUUGAUUUUGUCUCCAUAGACUUGGCAUUGAUAAUAGCACCUCACGUGUUGAAUACAAUCGGCUUCCAUGGUCAACCAAUAGUAACCGAGCCUCAUGAUUUUUCUAGCCAAGAGAUGACGGUUCAUAUGAGUGCCGCACUCUCCUUCGUAUAUUUCUUUCAAGAGCUCAAUCCAUUGGCAUCCGCUUGAGAGAGACCUGCCCCAAUCUUGGUUUCUUUAGGGUUGUCUGAAUCUCCCAAAUUUACAGUGACCGGCUGUUCGGUGGUAGGAGGUUUGGACUCUUCAUGUCUGAGCCAUUCUUUUUCAAUACCUCGAGGAUCAUCUUCAUUCUCUGAGUCAGAAUAAUCGGGUUCGUCAAAGUCUCUUGAAUGCGAAUCCGAGCCAUGCAAAUGACUAUCAUGAUGUGAAAUGUCAUGCCUGAGAUGCAAUCGAAAAAUGGUUAGUAUAUAUACAUAUGAAUGAAUGCAAUGUAUGUAAAUGUCAUGAAGAAUUUGUUUUCAAAUUCAAGUUGUUUUUGAAAAAUUUAUUGGGAACUAAUCCUCAUGUCAUUGGACGUCUUCGUUCCACUAAAACAUUUUGAAACUAUAGAUCGUGUGGAGGCUCAGGCCUCAUAGCAUCAUCAUAGGAUUAGUUUCGGCCUCACACGUCUAUUAACAAAACAUGAAUUUUAUUGAUAUGCAAAAAUUGCAUUACAACGAAUAUCAUCUUGGAUCUAGAAAGCUUAUAAUCUAGAUUAUUACAAACAUAAACGAAUGAAAUGAAUGGAAUUCCCUCGCAGGGGAGAAAUGAAUAGAAUACAGCUAAAAAUUGAAUGCAAAAACUAGAAACAUCCUUUACACAGUAGGAAUUGUAGGCCCUUCAUCUUUAUCGAUAGUGCCAACCAUGUUGACAUCUUCAGAAUGCUUUGGAAGGGGGUUUUGUUGGACAUUCGGUGCCGAGUCCUUAAAAGUGAGCAGCUUUUUAUCCAACAAAUCCUGGAUCUUAAAACGGAGCACCAGACAGUUGUCCACAUGAUGGCCUUUUUCACCCAUAUGAUACUCACAUGUCUUAUUAAGGUCGAAUCCGACAAACUUUGGUGGAUUAUCCCUUGGGAUCUCUUUUGCCACAAGAUGAUUUUCGAUUAGCAUUGGAAGUAAUUGUGACAUGGGUCUAGGCAAUGGAGUAAAUUGCCUUUGAGGGGCUUUUCCUUUGCGCUCCAAGUUUCUAGAAGAACCCCCUACUUCCAUGGUAGGUUUAUGAACUUGAAGGUUGUAUGGCUUCUGAGAAGAGGAAUUUUGUAUGUAGGCGAUCUCCACAGUCGAUUCCUUAUCUCUCUUUGGGGUAUAUCGACGGUUUGUGUUCUCCAUCAACCUUCCUUCUCGCAUGAUCCCCUCGAUGCGUUCUCCCAACUCUACAAAUGUAGCAAAGUUCAUACAAGUAUGGUUGUACAUCUUCUCAAAAAGAUCACGGGGCAUAGCUUGAAGUAGCAAUUUCAUGGUCUCUUUCUCAGAUAAUGGCGGUUUUACUUGAGACGCAGUGACCCUCCAUCUUUGAGCGUAAGCCCUAAAUGAUUCAGUUCUUCUUUUCUCGACUCGAACCAAUUCAUCUCAAGUUAGAGCAAUUUCAGUAUUGAAUUUGUAUUGCUGAAGGAAUUCAUCAACGAGAUCUUCCCAAGUACGGAUUUUCUCCAUGUCCAACUCUAUAAACCAGGUUAACGCAGGACCAACCAGGCUGUCCUGAAAUGAAUUGAUCAAGAGUGGGGGAUUAUCUAAAUAACGAGCCAUCUUGCUCAGAUAAUACUUCAAAUGAGUCUUCGGACAUCCGAUGUCGUCGUAUUUCCUUGUGAACUCCGACUCCUUAUAAAAUUCAGGGACCGUAAUUUUGGCAAAGGGCGACAGUUUAUCAAACCCCUGCAACUGAUAGCCUUGCAGCAUGCAAAGGCGUUCUUCGAUCUUGGCGAGGCGCCUUGCAUUUUCUUCAUCAAAGUGCGAAGUUGGAAUCUCUUUAGAGGGAGGCUCUGGACCGAUAACUAUCGGGAUUGUAGUGGAGAUCUCUUCCACAGGCCCUUUUGCCAUGGGCUCUACUAUCGGCACUUCAGGGGGCGCGGUAGGAAUAUUCAUGGUAGAAGAAGUAGAUGUCAAGCUUUUGACUUGGCUGGAGAGAUCGGCCAAUAACAUCAUCAUUUGUGCCAUUUGAUUCUUCAUAUUAAUGACACGGGCUCGGGUAUCUUCGUUUUCCAUCUUUGUUUGGCGGCGAGUUCGUAUAACAAAUCUUUCUUCAGCCGUUUUUUCAAAACCUCCUGUAAAAAAAAUUGACUCGAAUUAGUACCGAUCAAAAGAAACCAUUAAAGUACAAAUCCUAGUCAAUUUUAUAUUUUCUUGAGAUAAAAUAAUGAUAAGAAGUGUAUAUGAUCCCAGUAUCAUAUAACCUCCUCUUAUCAAAAUUUCUUCAAAAGAAAUUAUACAAUUGAAAAGAAACGACGACAAAUAUUUAAUCAAAAUGCCCAUUUUCUAAAAAUUACAUGAAAAUGUUCAAGAAUGUUAUUCAUUUCAUCGAACAAUUACAAGGGAAACAUAAUCUUGCUUUCUUGAAGCUUACAAAGUAGUUUGAUUUUACAAGGUAUAUGAAAAUGAAUACAUGGAAACCUUGAUAGAAAAGAGGGAAACACAAAUGAAUUCCCUUUACAAGAAAAGUGUAUGAAAUGAAAACCUAAGGACUAGGUGGGAUCGCACGGAGACGCUUGUUAUCAUGGGCCAAGCGUUUCUCAUCAAUUAAGGCAAUGUCUUCUUGUUUGAUAAUAUGAGCUCGCCGAAAUCCUUGAGGCUCGGGAAUCUUUCCAUGUAAUCUUGAUGUCUUGGGUCGAGAUUCUCCCAUAUAGUCUUAAGAUUCCAGGCACAAGGAUCACAUCCACUUCAGGUCUACCCAUCUAAUCCUAAACCUAAAGGGGCAUCCAUGAUUAAAACAUAUCGUCGUUGAAAUAUAAAACACAUAAUUGAAAUAUGGAAAGUAAAAGAUAAGCAUGAUGAAGAAGGAACGAUAUCUUACCCACCAGACACAUGACAAGCACAAAUCACAUGUCGCAUGAAACUGUGAGGUUUGGACGGCUAAGGUAAGGGUGCUAAAGGCUCAAGGUCCUCAUUCCAAAGGAUAAAAAUAGUUUACCCACCGCUACUAUCGUCGGUCAGUGCUAUUUUUAUCAGUUGGAAUGAGCGGGUUUAUGUAAGUAAUGGAUUACCACGAGCACCAACUUGCAGAUUCCACCCAUAAACCCUCCUAAGGUCCUAAAUUGGGCGAUCGGGGUUUUAAACCGUGGUUGUGUGUGCGGUGUCAUGCUAAAACUGGUAAACAUGCAUUUAAAUUUAAACAUCCAGCACUUCAAUAUAAACCCACAUACAUUCAUUCAUCCUUACACCACCUGCAAAACAAAGGGUUUACAAGCAUGCCUCCCCUUAUAACUCCCACCUACAAAACCAUUUAACACGAGGUUAGCGACUAACCUGAUUUUCCACGCGACUUUGACAUGCAGACGAUCCUACAUAAGACAUGUUAGUCAAAAUGCAACAACCAUUUUUAAACGGCUUCAAGUCCUCUUAACCUAGUAACCAGUCCCCAGCGGAGUUGCCAAGCCUGUCGCGACCCGAUCUCGCCGCCCCUCGAAAAGUAUCCAAGGAGGGGAAAGGUCAGGUUUAGGGGUACUUAAUCUCAAGAUCACGAGCUCUCCCAAGCUCAUACCCCACAUGACAGCGGAUUUAUUUAAACGAUCUAGGUAUUUAACAACCUAAAAAAAAUACAGGAGUCGCCACUAGCCUUAUUUUGGGGGUCGGCUAGAAACCCAACCGAGGGUCGGGAGUAUUCCCUCGAUUCCUACGCAACCAGAUAUCUAGGUUCGGGGACUUGGGUUACGCUAAUAUUACUAUUAGCCCCCUUUCGUUACCUAAAUAGUAUAUUGUGUUUUUCCUAACAUGUCCAUGCAUUUCUUUUUAUAUUUUCAAGAUCGUCAAUUCCUAGACUCAGUGAUCAUGCGUGGUUGAUCAUUUUCAUGUUAUUCUAUUUCUAAAAAAAAGAAAGGAAAACAACCAACGAAAUUGAAAUUACAAGACAUUAAGUAAGCAAUCAAGGAAAAGCAGUAAAUUUAUCAGGCAGUCCUAAAAAAAAUAAAAGAGAAAACAAUUAAAAAGAAAAGAAAGAAAACCCGCAACUCGUCGGGUUUUAUACAACAAAUGGAGCCCGAGACAUAUGUCGGGAAAAUGGGUAUUACAUGAAAAUGGUCGGAAUGGACAUCGACCUCCACCAUCUUCAUGCCUUCUCCAUCUUGAAGGUCCUAGUCUAAACCUAAUCUAAAACACUAAUAACUAGGUGCGUACAAAUAAAAGAAACAAUCAAACACAUCAAGCAACCAUUUUCAUUUCUAAAGAAGUACAAUGCGAAAGUCAAGUUUCGAGUGAUAUCCUAAAGUUCAGCAUUGACAUGCAAAUCAUGUGAAAUCAACAUCAUAGGAACAAAUUUCACGAGGAAGCUUCUAAAAAAUUUUUAACACGUGAAUUUCUAAAAGUUCAAGAACAUGAACAAGUCAAUCAAGAAUAGAUCAUAGUAGCAUGUCACACCGUCAUUCUACAACAUAUUGAAAGCAAUUGGACAAAUCUACUAUCUCAUCUUAAGACUAACAGCAAUUAGCCACAGAAAAGACAGCAUUUCCCUAAUCGAAUCAAUUCCAAAAAAAAAAAAAAAGGAACUGUAUGUUAUAACCAAAGGCAUUUCAUAAAGCAUCGAUUCAUGAAUACAAGUAUAACAUCCAACAGAAAAUUUCAGAUACAAGAUUGAACAAUGCAUAUCGGUAAAGAGUUAUCAUCUAACUUUCAUUAGAAAUUUUAGUUACUAAUGUAUCCUGGCCCCGAACUUUCAAUAUUGAGAAUACACUUUGACACAAAAGGUCCUCGCCUCAUCGGACACUAUGAUGAUCACCAACAAUCACAGUAUAAAGGCAAUCAACUGGAGGAAACACCCAUAAGAGAAGCAAAGUCAGCUGAAAACCAAUCACCUUAAGUAUAUAAUUUGUUGUCUUGCAUUCUUUUUGCACAAAAAUCCCCAACAGAAAG